GUACUGGAUGAGGUCGCUGCAAAUGUUAGUUCGCGCCAUCAUCAUCCCACACCGAAGCGGCUACACUUCUGUUUGCAGUACAGUCCAGUCCAGCUCAGCCCUCCAAUCUCAUGUGAAACAAACGUCAAGACCAGCUCAGUCCCCUCCCAUUGCUCUCAGCAUUAUCCUAGCAGAGAACCAACAGCUCUUACCAUUGAAGCGCCAGAAGACCAGCAGACCCUUCCUUGU